UAAUACUUUUAAUUUGUUCUCAUACUGAAAAUGUUCAUUACUAUUCCAGGUAUGACACGAGGUGGUUAUCGGUGGUUGUUGGAGGUGGUUGACGGUGGUUGAAGGUGGUCGGAGGUGGACGAGGAGGAGGAGGAGGAAGACGAGGAGAACAAGGUGGACAAGGAGGACGAGGAUUUGUGCUCGUAUUCGAGGUACGACCAGAUGAAGUUAUCGGUGGUCGUUGGAGAUGUUUGGCAGUGGUUGCAGGUGAUCAAGGUGCACGAGGAACAGGAUGACGAUGACAAGGAUUUGUCCACUGUAUAAUCCGAGGUGGUUAUGGGUGGUUGGUGGAGGUGGUUGGCGGUGGUUGGAGGUGGACGAGAAGGAGGACGAGGAAGAUGAGAAGAACAAGGUGGACGCGGAGGAGGAGGAUUUGUGCUCGGUAUAACCCAAGGUGGUGAGCAGUGGUCGUUGAAGGUGGUGAGCGGUAGAUGGAGGCGGUCGAGCUGGACGAGGAGGAGGACGAGGAAGACGAGGAUUUGUGCUCGUAUUUGACAACAGUGAUACCUUAUCACAUGGACAGUGGCCCACCUGAUAAUCAAGCUUCACAAGUCCUCAUUAAGAUAUUAAAGGCUAUCAAUGAGGAUAGUCCAACGAUGCCCACAUUAUUAACGGACUACAUAUUGAAAGAUCUGUGCCCCACCUAGUGAUCCACUAGUACAUAUCCUCCGACGUGACAUCGCUCCGCUACGUAUGCAGAAGAAAAGAUGUAUUAAGAUGCAGAUUGCUCCUCUCUUCUUGCCAUUGUGCUUUCAGCCAUUGUUGUGGUGUGUGUUUAAAAUUAAGGACAGUAUAUAAUAUAGAAUAACAGGUACAUCUACGAAUAUAGCACUGCAAUAAAUCUUAUAUAAAUGAGCUCUCACUGAGAUUUCUCUGUAUUUAUAACUCGACGCGAGAAGGCAAAAAUCAAUGUAAUGCCAUCUGUAAGGUAAUUGGACUCGUAUUUGCACUACGAGAACUCGUUGGGAAUUUUGCG